rnacentral:tRNA from 1 species
CUCUUAUUAGUUUAAUGGUAGAACAGGAUGUUCCUGACAUCUAUGUCCAAGUUCAAAUCUGGGAUAGGAAU